CCCUUAGAUGUUCUGGGCUGCACGCGCGCUACACUGAUGCGCUCAACGAGUUUACGAACUUGCCCGGAAGGGUUGGUUAAUCUUUUUAAAACGCAUCGUGAUGGGGAUAGAUUAUUGCAAUUAUUAGUCUUGAACGAGGAAUUCCUAGUAAGCACAAGUCAUCAGCUUGUGUUGAUUACGUCCCUGCCCUUUGUACACACCGCCCGUCGCUCCUACCGAUUGAAUGUUCCGGUGAGCUCUUCGGACUGCGCGGUCUGCAGUUUCUGCGUUCCGUGCGGAAAGUUGUGCAAACCUUAACAUUUAGAGGAAGGAGAAGUCGUAACA
rnacentral:rRNA from 1 species